rnacentral:rRNA from 1 species
AUUGAACGCUGGCGGCAGGCCUAACACAUGCAAGUCGGACGGUAGCACAGAGGAGUUUGCUCCUCGGGUGACGAGUGGCGGACGGGUGAGUAAUGUCUGGGGAUCUGCCCGAUAGAGGGGGAUAACCACUGGAAACGGUGGCUAAUACCGCAUAACGUCGCAAGACCAAAGAGGGGGACCUUCGGGCCUCUCACUAUCGGAUGAACCCAGAUGGGAUUAGCUAGUAGGCGGGGUAACGGCCCACCUAGGCGACGAUCCCUAGCUGGUCUGAGAGGAUGACCAGCCACACUGGAACGGAGACACGGUCCAGACUCCUACGGGAGGCAGCAGUGGGGAAUAUUGCACAAUGGGCGCAAGCCUGAUGCAGCCAUGCCGCGUGUAUGAAGAAGGCCUUCGGGUUGUAAAGUACUUUCAGCGGGGAGGAAGGCGAUGUGGUUAAUAACCGCAUUGAUUGACGUUACCCGCAGAAGAAGCACCGGCUAACUCCGUGCCAGCCGCCGCCGCAG